GACGAACGCUGGCGGCGUGCUUAACACAUGCAAGUCGAACGAUGAAGAAGAGAAACGCGAACUUCGGUUCAAAUUUCACUUCGGAUUAGUGGCAGACGGUUGAGUAACGCGUGAGCAACCUACCUCUUACAAAGGGAUAGCCUCGGGAAACCGUGAUUAAUACCAUAUGACACAUUCAUAAGGCAUCUUAAGAAUGUUAAAGCUACGGCGGUAAGAGAUGGGCUCGCGUCCCAUUCGCUAGUUUGUGAGGUAACGGCCCACCAAGGCGACGAUGGGUAACCGGCCUGAGAGGGUGAACGGUCACAUUGGAAGUGAGACAAGGUCCAAACUCCUACGGGAGGCAGCAGUGGGGAAUAGUGCACAAUGGAGGGAACUCUGAUGCAGCGAGGCCGCGUGAGCGAUGAAGGAAUUCGGUUCGUAAAGCUCUGUUCUAUGGGAAGAAAAGGACGGUACCAUAGGAGAAAGCCCCGGCGAAAUACGU
rnacentral:rRNA from 1 species